AAUCGGUAGACGCUACGGACUUAAUUAUAGAAUAAAGAUAGAGUCCCAUUCUACAUGUCAAUACCGGCAACAAUGAAAUUUAUAGUAAGAGGAAAAUCCGUCGACUUUAAAAAUCGUGAGGGUUCAAGUCCCUCUAUCCC
rnacentral:tRNA from 1 species